AUACGUAGGGUGCGAGCGUUAAUCGGAAUUACUGGGCGUAAAGCGUGCGCAGGUGGUUUUGUAAGUCAGAUGUGAAAUCCCCGGGCUUAACCUGGGAACUGCGUUUGAAACUGCAAGGCUAGAGUGUGGCAGAGGGGGGUGGAAUUCCGCGUGUAGCAGUGAAAUGCGUAGAUAUGUGGAGGAACACCGAUGGCGAAGGCAGCCCCCUGGGUCAGCACUGACGCUCAGGCACGAAAGCAUGGGGAGCAAACAGGAUUAGAUACCCCGGUAGUCC
rnacentral:rRNA from 1 species